rnacentral:rRNA from 1 species
UACGUAGGGGGCCAGCGUUGCUCGGAAUUACUGGGCGUAAAGGGUUCGUAGGUGGUGCGGCAAGUUGGGAGUGAAAUCUCUGGGCUUAACUCAGAGGCUGCUUUCAAAACUGCCGCGCUCGAGUGCGAGAGAGGUCAGUGGAAUUGCAGGUGUAGCGGUGAAAUGCGUAGAUAUCUGCAGGAACACCCGUGGCGAAGGCGGCUGACUGGAUCGCAACUGACACUGAGGAACGAAAGCGUGGGGAGCAAACAGG